GACGAACGCUGGCGGCGUGCUUAACACAUGCAAGUCGAACGAAGUGGCGAACGGGUGAGUAACGCGUAAUCAACCUGCCCUUCAGAGGGGGACAACAGUUGGAAACGACUGCUAAUACCGCAUAAUGAAGGAGGGGAUUGCGUCUGAUGAGCUAGUUGGGGGGGUAACGCCCCACCAAGGCGAUGAUCAGGAGCCGGACGGAGAGGAGGAACGGCCACAUUGGGACUGGGACCAGGCCCAGACUCCUACGGGGGGCAGCAGUGGGGAAUCUUCCGAAAUGGACGAAAGUCUGACGGAGCAACGCCGCGUGAGUGAUUACGGCCUUCGGGUUGUAAAGCUCUGUUAAUCGGGACGCGGUACCGGAAUAGAAAGCCACGGCUAACUACGUGCCAGCAGCCGCGGUAAUAC
rnacentral:rRNA from 1 species